rnacentral:rRNA from 1 species
CGGUGAAGAUUCCGGACCGCGACGC